rnacentral:misc_RNA from 1 species
CUUUUUUUUUUUUUUUUUGGGUCUGCUUAAGUUGUAAUUUAUGCAGUAAUGAAUGGUCGAAUGUAUACGAUGCAAGUUACUGAACUAUAGAAACUGUGAUAUGGGUUAUAAAGAAGGAUAGUGAAAUCACUUGAUAGAUAAUCAAGUUGAGAGUGUGAAAUUCUGAUCUGUAGGCUAAGUUCUUUAAGAUUUUAUGGGUCUGAGGGGCUUUUUUUGAGGUAUCAUCUCUCAAGUUCUACUCAGCUUGUUGAAGAUUUUCCCUUUGAUUGUGGUCACCUAUGCAGAUAUCAUUUUGCGUGUUGGAUUUAUUUUACUAUAUUUUUGAUGUUGUAUCCGGUCUAAUUUCUUAUGAAAAUGGUAGAUAAUGGCGGAGCUUCUUUUAAGACCUAUUUUCUGAUUUUCCAAUUCUUUCUUUUCUUUUUGUUUUUAUGAAUAGAUCAAUAUGAUAUUUACAUUUUUUUCUCUUGGUGGUUUCGCAAGCUUUUAAGCGUGUAUGUUAGUACAAAUUCCAUGGUUUUGCUAGAUUUACUGUUCAUACUUACUAGGAUUACAUUUUCUUAUUAUGAUAGGUUUAUUUAAUGGGGACAACAG